rnacentral:rRNA from 1 species
AGCAGCCGCGGUAAUUCCAGCUCCAAUAGCGUAUAUUAAAGUUGUUGCAGUUAAAAAGCUCGUAGUUGAAUUUCGAGACCGGCUUAUUGGUCGUGCUUUUGUACGUACUGGUAUAAUCGGUUUCUCCUUUCUGACGAACUAUAAUGCCAUUAAUUUGGUGUUAUAGGGAAUCAGGACUGUUACUUUGAAAAAAUUAGAGUGUUUAAAGCAGGCUCACGCUUGAAUACAUUAGCAUGGAAUAACGGAAUAGGACGUUUGAUUCUAUUUUGUUGGUUUCUAGGAUCGACGUAAUGAUUAAUAGGGAUAGUUGGGGGCAUUAGUAUUCAAUUGUCAGAGGUGAAAUUCUUGGAUUUAUUGAAGACUAACUACUGCGAAAGCAUUUGCCAAGGAUGUUUUCAUUAAUCAAGAACGAAAGUUAGGGGAUCGAAGACGAUCAGAUACCGUCGUAGUCUUAACCAUAAACUAUGCCGACUAGGGAUCGGAUGAUGUUAAUUUUUAAUGACUCAUUCGGCGCCUUACG